UUCCUAAACUAGCUCCUCCUUAAUGCCUUUUGUGAGGGCCAGGAACAUAGAUUGUUUUUAUCCCUGCUCCUGCCUUGAAUGCUUUCCCCUUUCCACCAGCCCAAAUUCUCUCCAUCCUUGGAGCCAGAUGCUUUCAGGGAAGUUCUCAGCAGGUGUUUCUGGCUUGCAGACCUUCUUGAGUUGAAGCUCACUUAGAAAGAUGUUAUCUCCAAGGGAAUUCAAUCAUAUCCUUCAUGUGGAAGAUGUCACCUGUAGAUGAAAAUUACAGUCUCCCUAAUGCAAGGGAAGGAACUCUAAACUGGCAUGGCGGUCCAGUUGGCCCUGUCGCACAUGCUUUCUGGGAUCUGCAAGAUGAAGGAGGAGAGACAGUUCCCAUUCCACAUCUUCAAUCCUCUGGGCCAAGAAAUAAUAUCACAGGAUAAGGCUGGACGUCCAUUGGUCAUAAGUCUUGAAGAAGGGAUUUCAGCAUUGGGAGAGCAGUUGGAUCAAGUUCUACAAUGCUUAUCUAACUGACCUGUCAUGAAGGAGUUGUGACAAGAAAUACUUCGAACCUACUGAGGGACUGUGCGAUUUCACAUACAUAACUUUACCACCA
rnacentral:lncRNA from 1 species